CCUACGGGCGGCAGCAGUGGGGAAUAUUGGACAAUGGGCGAAAGCCUGAUCCAGCCAUGCCGCGUGUGUGAAGAAGGCCUUCGGGUUGUAAAGCACUUUCAGUGGGGAAGAAAGCCUUGGGGCUAAUACCCUCGAGGAAGGACAUCACCCACAGAAGAAGCACCGGCUAACUCCGUGCCAGCAGCCGCGGUAAUACGGAGGGUGCGAGCGUUAAUCGGAAUUACUGGGCGUAAAGCGCGCGUAGGCGGUCUGAUAAGCCGGUUGUGAAAGCCCCGGGCUCAACCUGGGAACGGCAUCUGGAACUGUCAGGCUAGAGUGCAGGAGAGGAAGGUAGAAUUCCCGGUGUAGCGGUGAAAUGCGUAGAGAUCGGGAGGAAUACCAGUGGCGAAGGCGGCCUUCUGGACUGACACUGACGCUGAGGUGCGAAAGCGUGGGUAGCAAACAGGAUUAGAUACCCCAGUAGUC
rnacentral:rRNA from 1 species